GACAGAGGAUGCAAGCGUUAUCCGGAAUGAUUGGGCGUAAAGCGUCUGUAGGUGGCUUUUUAAGUCCGCCGUCAAAUCCCAGGGCUCAACCCUGGACAGGCGGUGGAAACUACCAAGCUGGAGUACAGUAGGGGCAGAGGGAAUUUCCAGUGGAGCGGUGAAAUGCGUAGAGAUUGGAAAGAACACCCGUGGCGAAGGCGGCACUCUGGGACGGUACUGACGCUGAGACGCGAAAGCGUGGGGAGCGAACAGG
rnacentral:rRNA from 1 species